UACGGAGGGUGCGAGCGUUGUUCGGAAUCACUGGGCGUAAAGGGCGUGUAGGCGGUCCGCUAAGUCUGAUGUGAAAGCCCGGGGCUCACCCCCGGAAGGGCAUUGGAAACUGGCGGACUCGAGUCCCGGAGAGGAAGGUGGAAUUCCUGGUGUAGCGGUGAAAUGCGUAGAUAUCAGGAGGAACACCAAUAGCGAAGGCAGCUCGCUGGGACGGUACUGACACUGAGGCGCGAAAGCGUGGGGAGCGAACAGG
rnacentral:rRNA from 1 species